rnacentral:rRNA from 1 species
UACGGGGGGGGCAAGCGUUGUUCGGAAUUACUGGGCGUAAAGGCUCGUAGGUGGCCAACUAAGUCAGACGUGAAAUCCCUCGGCUUAACCGGGGAACUGCGUCUGAUACUGGAUGGCUUGAGUUCGGGAGAGGGAUGCGGAAUUCCAGGUGUAGCGGUGAAAUGCGUAGAUAUCUGGAGGAACACCGGUGGCGAAGGCGGCAUCCUGGACCGACACUGACGCUGAGGAGCGAAAGCCAGGGGAGCAAACGGG